AUUGAACGCUGGCGGCAGGCCUAACACAUGCAAGUCGAACGAGUGGCGGACGGGUGAGUAAUGUCUGGGAAACUGCCUGAUGGAGGGGAAAAAUAAUGGAAAAGGUUGCCAAUACCGCCAACCAUCGGAUUGUCCCAGAGGGGAUUAGCUAGUAGGUGGGGUAACGGCUCACCUGGGCGAAGAUCCCUAGCUGGGCUGAGAGGAUGACCAGCCACACUGGAACUGAGACACGGUCCAGACUCCUACGGGAGGCAGCAGUGGGGAAUAUUGCACAAUGGGCGCAAGCCUGAUGCAGCCAUGCCGCGUGUAUGAAGAAGGCCUUCGGGUUGUAAAGUACUUUCAGCGGGGAGGCGUUACCCGCAGAAGAAGCACCGGCUAACUCCGUGCCAGCAGCCGCGGUAAUUC
rnacentral:rRNA from 1 species